rnacentral:rRNA from 1 species
CCUACGGGAGGCAGCAGUGGGGAAUAUUGCGCAAUGGGCGAAAGCCUGCCGCAGCGACGCCGCGUGAGGGAUGAAGGUCUUCGGAUCGUAAACCUCUGUCAGCAGGGAAGAACGGUCACUGUGCUAAUCAGCAGUGAAUUGACGGUACCUGCAAAGGAAGCACCGGCUAACUCCGUGCCAGCAGCCGCGGUAAUACGGAGGGUGCGAGCGUUAAUCGGAAUUACUGGGCGUAAAGCGCUCGUAGGCGGUAUGUCAAGUCAAGGGUGAAAUCCCCGGGCUCAACGUGGGAACUGCCUUUGAAACGGGGAAACUGGAGGGUGUGAGAGGAUAGUGGAAUUCCAGGUGUAGGAGUGAAAUCCGUAGAUAUCUGGAGGAACAUCAGUGGCGAAGGCGACUAUCUGGCAAAUAACUGACGCUGAGGAGCGAAAGCGAGGGUAGCAAACAGGAUUAGAUACCCCAGUAGUC